rnacentral:rRNA from 1 species
UACGUAGGGUGCAAGCGUUGUCCGGAAUUAUUGGGCGUAAAGAGCUCGUAGGCGGUUUGUCGCGUCUGCUGUGAAAACCCGAGGCUCAACCUCGGGCCUGCAGUGGGUACGGGCAGACUAGAGUGCGGUAGGGGAGAUUGGAAUUCCUGGUGUAGCGGUGGAAUGCGCAGAUAUCAGGAGGAACACCAAUGGCGAAGGCGGCUACCUGGACCGGUUCUGACACUGAGGAGCGAAAGCGUGGGGAGCGAUCCGG